rnacentral:lncRNA from 1 species
GUUUGUGGGACUCUCAUACCACAAAUGAAGUGCUUUUUAUCAAUGAGACAGCCUUGGUAAAUAGGUAUUUUGUAUCAAGAUGCCAAAAUGUGGCAAAUUAUCUUCAAAUAGUAACUGCAGAUGGGCAGUUUUGAUAUUUCACCUCUUUUCUAGAACAGCUGGCUUUUCAUUUCUCUUUCAUUUUGAACUAGGAAGACUGUUGAGGAUGUGGUGGGCUUCCCUGUGGCAAGUGGAAGGGAGCCGCAGAGUAGCAUCCCUCAUUCUGAUGGACCUGUCCUGUGUCCUCGGGACCCACCUGAGGGUGUAGACGUCUUCUCCACAUUCCACACAGAUGCCUACAAGCAGCCAGCUGGGGUGUGAGCUUUCCUCCUCCUCAUUCUCUAAAACUUCUCCCCUCCCUCUCCAAAAAUGAAAGGAAGAAAAGGCUCAAUUAUACUUUUUCUGGAAAAUGUGAGUCCUUUCCUCAAGUCUUCAAACAAACCUUACCUGGAAAUUAGUAUCUGAUUUUUUAUAUGAAGAAAUACUUUAAUGUAUGUUUAUACAGUAUUUAUUAGGUAGUCAUAACUGUAAACUCACCUACCUAGAAAAGUUUCAGAUUAAAUAUUGGGACAUGUACAGGAAUAAAAAAUAUUACUUUGAAGGUCAUUUGCCUAUUUUAAAGCCAUGUUUUAGCACCUUUUAGGCUAGGCGAAGUCUGAUAGUGCCUGUUCCUGUCAUCUGUACUCAAAGUUAUUGAAAAUUAUUGCAUGCAGGCGAGAUCAAAGUGUUU